rnacentral:rRNA from 1 species
CACGUAGGGCGCAAGCGUUGUCCGGAAUUAUUGGGCGUAAAGAGCUCGUAGGCGGACUGUCACGUCCGCUGUGAAAAGCUAGGGCUUAACCCUGGCCUUGCAGUGGAUACGGGCAGACUAGAGGUAGGUAGGGGAGAAUGGAAGUUCCCGGUGUAGCGGUGAAUGCGCAGAUAUCGGGAGGAACACCGGUGGCGAAGGCGGUUCUCUGGGCCUUACCUGACGCUGAGGAGCCGAAAGCGUGGGGAGCGAACAGG